rnacentral:rRNA from 1 species
GGGUUGUGAGGUUAAGCGACUAAGCGUACACGGUGGAUGCCCUGGCAGUCAGAGGCGAUGAAGGGCGUGCUAAUCUGCGAUAAGCGCCGGUAAGGUGAUAUGAACCGUUAUAACCGGCGAUACCCGAAUGGGGAAACCCAGUGUGACUCGUCACACUAUCAUUAACUGAAUCCAUAGGUUAAUGAGGCGAACCGGGGGAACUGAAACAUCUAAGUACCCCGAGGAAAAGAAAUCAACCGAGAUUCCCCCAGUAGCGGCGAGCGAACGGGGAGGAGCCCAGAGCCUGAAUCAGCAUGUGUGUUAGUGGAAGCGUCUGGAAAGUCGCGCGAUACAGGGUGACAGCCCCGUACACAAAAGCGCAUGUGUUGUGAGCUCGAUGAGUAGGGCGGGACACGUGGUAUCCUGUCUGAAUAUGGGGGGACCAUCCUCCAAGGCUAAAUACUCCUGACUGACCGAUAGUGAACCAGUACCGUGAGGGAAAGGCGAAAAGAACCCCGGCGAGGGGAGUGAAAAAGAACCUGAAACCGUGUACGUACAAGCAGUGGGAGCACAGGUUUACCUGUGUGAC